UACAGGGGGGGCAAGCGUUGUUCGGAAUUACUGGGCGUAAAGGGCUCGUAGGCGGCCAACUAAGUCCGACGUGAAAUCCCAAAGCUUAACUUUGGAACUGCGUCGGAUACUGGAUGGCUUGAAUUCGGGAGAGGGAUGCAGAAUUCCAGGUGUAGCGGUGAAAUGCGUAGAUAUCUGGAGGAACACCGGUGGCGAAGGCGGCAUCCUGGACCGACACUGACACUGAGGAGCGAAAGCCAGGGGAGCAAACGGG
rnacentral:rRNA from 1 species